rnacentral:lncRNA from 1 species
UGAAAGCUUACCGGGUGGAGAUGUUGCUGAUGGUAUUGUAAGCAUGGAUCCAAGAAAAGCAGCGGCAGCUUAUGUGAUGCUUUCCAGCAUCGCUGCCACAAGCGCGAGCCUGCAACAUCUUCGUUAAGUAACAGCGAGAGAGAAUGAAAAGACUAUAAAAAGCUCACGAGAAGCACCGCUGGCAGCGUAAUGAUAAGGCACGAAAGUGAAAGACGCUCGCUCCUGUUUCCUCGUAACAUGGAACGUUUGAGCGUUGAGCCAAGAGAAAAAUUACAAAAGACCCAUGCGUGCCUGCUGAAUGCAUCCAUAACUUUCACAGGGAAGAUACGAUCACGGACGAAGAAAACUCGUAAAACAACCAAGUUGUACCUUUAUUCGACUUUUCUGAGCAUUUGCUAGGCCUGACUCUAUCACGUGGUCAAGCAUUGUCUCAUUAGCUAGUAGCCCAUGCUGAAAAUGAGUUAGAAGACAAGAUCAGCAAGAAUACCAAGAAAAAAAAAAAGAAAAACAAAGUUGAGCUAAGAAACUGACCUGAACCAGUUUGGAAUCUUCUACAACACAUUAACGUUGCUUCCGAUGGUAAGAAAACAUCUUGCUUCUGGACCAACAGGACUUCCAUAUUUUAC